rnacentral:tRNA from 1 species
CGGAAUAUAGUGUAAUGGCAGCACAAUAGAUUUUGAAUCUAUUAGUGGCGGUUCGAGUCCGCCUGUUUCGA